rnacentral:lncRNA from 1 species
ACCUAUGGAUAGGAGUUAUGUGUUCUAGUUCUUCUUUAUUUAUGUGAAUAUUUGGUUGACAAAUAUCUAUUUAUUUUUUUAGAAUUUCAUUAAUUUCAAUAUUUCUCCCACUGCCUCUUUCUAGGAUAAAUUCUUUCUCCAUGAAAGUAGCAUGCCUACUUACAAAUAUUUUUUGUUCAGUAGGGUGGUAGAAUAGAUAUCC